ACACAUGCCAAGUCGAGCGGUAGCACAGAGAGCUUGCUCUCGGGUGACGAGCGGCGGACGGGUGAGUAAUGUCUGGGAAACUGCCUGAUGGAGGGGGAUAACUACUGGAAACGGUAGCUAAUACCGCAUAACGUCGCAAGACCAAAGUGGGGGACCUUCGGGCCUCAUGCCAUCAGAUGUGCCCAGAUGGGAUUAGCUAGUAGGUGGGGUAACGGCUCACCUAGGCGACGAUCCCUAGCUGGUCUGAGAGGAUGACCAGCCACACUGGAACUGAGACACGGUCCAGACUCCUACGGGAGGCAGCAGUGGGGAAUAUUGCACAAUGGGCGCAAGCCUGAUGCAGCCAUGCCGCGUGUAUGAAGAAGGCCUUCGGGUUGUAAAGUACUUUCAGCGAGGAGGAAGGCAUUAAGGUUAAUAACCUUGGCGAUUGACGUUACUCGCAGAAGAAGCACCGGCUAACUCCGUGCCAGCAGCCGCGGUAAUACGGAGGGUGCAAGCGUUAAUCGGAAUUACUGGGCGUAAAGCGCACGCAGGCGGUCUGUCAAGUCGGAUGUGAAAUCCCCGGGCUCAACCCUGGGAACUGCAUUCGAAACUGGCAGGCUAGAGUCUUGUAGAGGGGGGUAGAAUUCCAGGUGUAGCGGUGAAAUGCGUAGAGAUCUGGAGGGAAUACCCGGUGGCGAAGGCGGCCCCCUGGACAAAGACUGACGCUCAGGUGCGAAAAGCGUGGGGAGCAAACAGGAUUAGAUACCCUGGUAGUCCACGCCGUAAACGAUGUCGACUUGGAGGUUGUGCCCUUGAGGGCGUGGCUUCCGGAGCUAACGCGUUAAGUCGACCGCCUGGGGAGUACGGCCGCAAGGUUAAAACUCAAAUGAAUUGACGGGGGCCCGCACAAGCGGUGGAGCAUGUGGUUUAAUUCGAUGCAACGCGAAGAACCUUACCUACUCUUGACAUCCAGAGAACUUAGCAGAGAUGCUUUGGUGCCUUCGGGAACUGUGAGACAGGUGCUGCAUGGCUGUCGUCAGCUCGUGUUGUGAAAUGUUGGGUUAAGUCCCGCAACGAGCGCAACCCUUAUCCUUUGUUGCCAGCGGUCCGGCCGGGAACUCAAAGGAGACUGCCAGUGAUAAACUGGAGGAAGGUGGGGAUGACGUCAAGUCAUCAUGGCCCUUACGAGUAGGGCUACACACGUGCUACAAUGGCAUAUACAAAGAGAAGCGACCUCGCGAGAGCAAGCGGACCUCAUAAAGUAUGUCGUAGUCCGGAUUGGAGUCUGCAACUCGACUCCAUGAAGUCGGAAUCGCUAGUAAUCGUAGAUCAGAAUGCUACGGUGAAUACGUUCCCGGGCCUUGUACACACCGCCCGUCACACCAUGGGAGUGGGUUGCAAAAGAAGUAGGUAGCUUAACCUUCGGGAGGGCGCUUACCACUUUGUGAUUCAUGACUGGGGGAAGUCG
rnacentral:rRNA from 2 species